AACGAACGCUGGCGGCGUGGAUAAGACAUGCAAGUCGAACGAGAGAAUUGCUAGCUUGCUAAUAAUUCUCUAGUGGCGCACGGGUGAGUAACACGUGAGUAACCUGCCCCCGAGAGCGGGAUAGCCCUGGGAAACUGGGAUUAAUACCGCAUAGUAUCGAAAGAUUAAAGCAGCAAUGCGCUUGGGGAUGGGCUCGCGGCCUAUUAGUUAGUUGGUGAGGUAACGGCUCACCAAGGCGAUGACGGGUAGCCGGUCUGAGAGGAUGUCCGGCCACACUGGAACUGAGACACGGUCCAGACACCUACGGGUGGCAGCAGUCGAGAAUCAUUCACAAUGGGGGAAACCCUGAUGGUGCGACGCCGCGUGGGGGAAUGAAGGUCUUCGGAUUGUAAACCCCUGUCAUGUGGGAGCAAAUUAAAAAGAUAGUACCACAAGAGGAAGAGACGGCUAACUCUGUGCCAGCAGCCGCGGUAAUACAGAGGUCUCAAGCGUUGUUCGGAAUCACUGGGCGUAAAGCGUGCGUAGGCUGUUUCGUAAGUCGUGUGUGAAAGGCGCGGGCUCAACCCGCGGACGGCACAUGAUACUGCGAGACUAGAGUAAUGGAGGGGGAACCGGAAUUCUCGGUGUAGCAGUGAAAUGCGUAGAUAUCGAGAGGAACACUCGUGGCGAAGGCGGGUUCCUGGACAUUAACUGACGCUGAGGCACGAAGGCCAGGGGAGCGAAAGGGAUUAGAUACCCCUGUAGUCCUGGCAGUAAACGGUGCACGCUUGGUGUGCGGGGAAUCGACCCCCUGCGUGCCGGAGCUAACGCGUUAAGCGUGCCGCCUGGGGAGUACGGUCGCAAGAUUAAAACUCAAAGAAAUUGACGGGGACCCGCACAAGCGGUGGAGUAUGUGGCUUAAUUCGAUGCAACGCGAAGAACCUUACCUGGGCUUGACAUGUAAUGAACAACAUGUGAAAGCAUGCGACUCUUCGGAGGCGUUACACAGGUGCUGCAUGGCCGUCGUCAGCUCGUGUCGUGAGAUGUCUGGUUAAGUCCAGCAACGAGCGCAACCCCUGUUGCCAGUUACCAGCACGUGAAGGUGGGGACUCUGGCGAGACUGCCCAGAUCAACUGGGAGGAAGGUGGGGACGACGUCAGGUCAGUAUGGCCCUUAUGCCCAGGGCUGCACACGUACUACAAUGCCCAGUACAGAGGGGGCCGAAGCCGCGAGGCGGAGGAAAUCCUAAAAACUGGGCCCAGUUCGGACUGUAGGCUGCAACCCGCCUACACGAAGCCGGAAUCGCUAGUAAUGGCGCAUCAGCUACGGCGCCGUGAAUACGUUCCCGGGUCU
rnacentral:rRNA from 1 species